AAUAAAUCUAUUUUUCAGUUUUCGAUACGAAUGUUUGACUUUUUGUCUUAUUUAAAAUUUUUCUAUAAUUAAUAUUUUUAUUGUUACUAGAUGAUAAAACAUGAAUAAUACUUUACACGUGACUAACUUUUAAAUAAAAUUUUUAAAUAAGACGGAUUAUUAAACGCUACACACGAAACUUAAA
rnacentral:pre_miRNA from 1 species